GAUCAGGUCCAAUUUCUGGAAUAGACAAUAAAACCAAUCAGAAGAAUUGGCUUGUCGGUGGCUACUCUUCACUAUUUAAUGGGAAGAAAUCUCAUCAGAAGCCAAACAGACUGACUCAAGUUGGACCUUUUAAAGGAUGCAUGAUAUCUGGCCCUAGUUCUAUGGUUGUCAAUUGCCACAUUAGUUCAAAUGGGUAUCAUUCUGAGAUUGUUGAUCCUUGCAACAGAG
rnacentral:misc_RNA from 1 species